rnacentral:rRNA from 1 species
CGUGUAGGCGGUCAUGCCAGUCAGGGGUGAAAUGCAUCGGCUUAACCGAUUGAAAUGCCUUUGAAACUGCAUGACUUGAGUACGGGAGAGGAGAGCGGAAUUCCUGGUGUAGCGGUGAAAUGCGUAGAUAUCAGGAAGAACAUCCGUGGCGAAGGCGGCUCUCUGGCCCAGUACUGACGCUGAGGCGCGAAAGCCAGGGGAGCGAACG